rnacentral:rRNA from 1 species
AACGAACGCUGGCGGCAUGCCUAACACAUGCAAGUCGAACGAGACCGUCGGGUCUAGUGGCGCACGGGUGCGUAACGCGUGGGAACCUGCCCGUAGGAUCGGAAUAACUCCCCGAAAGGGGGGCUAAUACCGGAGAAUGUUAUCGGACAAAAGAUUUAUGGCCUUUGGAUGGGCCCGGGUUGGAUUAGCUAGUUGGUAGGGUAAAAGCCUACCAAGGCGACGAUCCAUAGCUGGUCUGAGAGGAUGAGCAGCCACGCUGGGACUGAGACACGGCCCAGACUCCUACGGGGGGCGGCAGUGGGGAAUAUUGGACACUGGGCGAUAGCCUGAUCCAGCCAUGCCGCGUGAGUGAUGAAGGCCUUAGGAUUGUAAAGCUCUUUUACCCGGGAUGAUAAUGACAGUACCGGCAGAAUAAGCUCCGGCUAACUCCGUG